GAUGAUGGCCCCCAUUUCCCAAAUGCCUACUAUAUUUCAGGAUUUCUCAGCAAGGACUGGUAGAACUUGACUUGACUGCCAGCUUUUAUCUGGACCGGACUUCACAAAGCAGGGUGAAAGAAUUUGCAUGAUCUCCAUGGUGGCUAAUCAUAUAAUUUCCAGUUUCAGCAGCUGGCACCAGCUAUUUGCUCCCCCGCUACCCAAGCAAUUCUAGUAACUGUGAGAUAUCCUAUGAAUCACAGAACAAAUGCCCAACUCCUUUCUACAGUCACGGGGUCAGAGUACACAGCCAACCCACUAGCAGAGCUGGAGUUAUGGUUUGAGCCAAAGUACAACAAGGAAGGAGGAAGCCCCAACCUACCCCGGACAUGCCCUGAAUGACACAGCCAUUUAGGGCCUGCCAAAGAUGCCAUUCUGUUUGCAAACACAUAUUACCUGCCAUAUCACUCAACAAAAUAAUUCCAUCAGAAGGCCUGAAGGCAAAUGACUAAUGUUAAAAGUGGCCCAUGCAUCAUUUCAGUGACAACUCCACAGGCGCCAAUUAAACAUGGAAAAGACCUGUUCUGAAGCAUGCCCAUCUGGCAUUUCCCAAGGAACUGUAGUCAAUGGCUGAUAAAACAUACAUGAUCAUAACUAUAAAGAAAUUUCGCAGCCCUCUCCUUGCUCAAAAGCAACCGGGGCCUAUGAGGACAAUGAACCUGGAAGACACCCAAAAGAGGAGAAAACAUACAAUAACCACCUUCUGAGUGGAAGGAAGAGGACACAUUUAACAAAUGAUGUCAAGGCAUAAAACCUCCGGCAGAGAGACAGUGGCUG
rnacentral:lncRNA from 1 species